AAUAUAGAGGGAGGCCAUUUCACACAUAUUUUUAUAUAUACAAAAAAGAAAUUUGGGGAUCGAGAGAUAUUAAACCCUGUAUUUUGACCCUGAAAAGAUGCCGACCUGCGAUUUUUGGGGGUUUUUUAAGGGCCUUAACCACCAGCCCAGGGGAAAUCAAAGUUUUUGGUUUCCGGGGGAAGAAUGUUGCCAAGGUGGAAACUUAAGGGAAUGGAGGGAAGGCCCCCCCCGGGGGGGAGCCCGCGGGUUAAAUUUGACUCACCCGGGGAAAAUUUCCCGGUCCCAACAAAAGGUAGGAUUGCCAAAUUGGAGGUUUUUUCAGGUUUUAAGGGGGGGGGGGCCAGGCCCUUUUUUAGUGGGGGGGGGAAUUUUUUGGGUAAAUUCCGUAAAGGAAGGGACCUUGGCCCUAUAAAAAAGGGGGGGGAAGGGAAAAAAAGUCGUUUUUAACUUUUUAAAGGGACAUUUCCGGUUUACGGGCAGGAAGUUUGGGGCAAUAACCGGUUUUGGAAGCCCUUAAAAGUUUUGGGCCGCCCGGGGGGUACCAUGAAGGGUUUAUUGGGUUUUAAUUUUAAUUUUUGGAAUUGAGUGCUUGGUCGGAAGGCCUGGCUAAUCCUUGGAACGCUCAUCGUGCUGGGGCUAGAUUUUUGCAAUUAUUAAUCUCCAACGAGGAAUUCCUAGUAAACGCAAGUCAUCAGCUUGCAUUGAAUACGUCCCUGCCCUUUGUACACACCGCCCGUCGCACCUACCGAUUGAACGGUCCGAUGAAACCAUGGGAUGCAAGUGUUGGGAUUGAUUUUGGA
rnacentral:rRNA from 1 species